AGAGUUUGAUCCUGGCUCAGAUUGAACGCUGGCGGCAGGCCUAACACAUGCAAGUCGAGCGGUAGAGAGAAGCUUGCUUCUCUUGAGAGCGGCGGACGGGUGAGUAAUGCCUAGGAAUCUGCCUGGUAGUGGGGGAUAACGUUCGGAAACGGACGCUAAUACCGCAUACGUCCUACGGGAGAAAGCAGGGGACCUUCGGGCCUUGCGCUAUCAGAUGAGCCUAGGUCGGAUUAGCUAGUUGGUGAGGUAAUGGCUCACCAAGGCGACGAUCCGUAACUGGUCUGAGAGGAUGAUCAGUCACACUGGAACUGAGACACGGUCCAGACUCCUACGGGAGGCAGCAGUGGGGAAUAUUGGACAAUGGGCGAAAGCCUGAUCCAGCCAUGCCGCGUGUGUGAAGAAGGUCUUCGGAUUGUAAAGCACUUUAAGUUGGGAGGAAGGGCAGUUGCCUAAUACGUAACUGUUUUGACGUUUACCGACAGAAUAAGCACCGGCUAACUCUGUGCCAGCAGCCGCGGUAAUAC
rnacentral:rRNA from 1 species